GCCGAGUCCAGUCUAAUACUGCGUCAUGUCACUAGGAUAUUGCCGGAGUCUCGCUUUUGGACAAGAAUAAUUUAAUUUCUUUUAUUAUCCUUGUGCUUGUACAAAUCCAAGUUCAAUGCACACGAGAAACGUAAAAGAACAAUA